ACUCAUGACCAAAGUGGACUGCAUAGGCAGC
rnacentral:piRNA from 1 species